rnacentral:tRNA from 1 species
CCCAGGGUGGCUUAGUGGUUUGAGCAUUGGACUAUGGCUCUAGAGACCAGGGUUUGAUUCUCAGCUCAGCCA